rnacentral:rRNA from 1 species
AUUGAACGCUGGCGGCAGGCCUAACACAUGCAAGUCGAGCGGAUGACGGGAGCUUGCUCCUUGAUUCAGCGGCGGACGGGUGAGUAAUACCUAGGAAUCUGCCUGAUAGUGGGGGACAACGUUUCGAAAGGAACGCUAAUACCGCAUACGUCCUACGGGAGAAAGCAGGGGACCUUCGGGCCUUGCGCUAACAGAUGAGCCUAGGUCGGAUUAGCUAGUUGGUGAGGUAAUGGCUCACCAAGGCGACGAUCCGUAACUGGUCUGAGAGGAUGAUCAGUCACACUGGAACUGAGACACGGUCCAGACUCCUACGGGAGGCAGCAGUGGGGAAUAUUGGACAAUGGGCGAAAGCCUGAUCCAGCCAUGCCGCGUGUGUGAAGAAGGUCUUCGGAUUGUAAAGCACUUUAAGUUGGGAGGAAGGGCAGUAAGCUAAUACCUUGCUGUUUUGACGUUACCGACAGAAUAAGCACCGGCUAACUCUGUGCCAGCAGCCGCAGUAAUAC